rnacentral:lncRNA from 1 species
GAUAUUUUGGAAUGAAAGUGAGUUGGAGAUGAUUGGUCAAAGUUCAGAUUAUCAGAAAACUAUUUACCAAAAGUCUCAAAUGCAAAAGGACUUUUUGGCCAUCAGGUCUGUGAGUACUUUGCAUACUUAGCUUGUUUCUUCAAUGCAUAAGUUGUUUUGAUCAAUUUUAGUUUGAAUUAUAGUAAGUGAAGAUGAUGUUCGUUCCAUCUGUGUCAAGGCAUAAUAUUAUCCAUGUUUGCAUGUAGUUGUAGUUAUGCAGUUUGCUAGAGUAAUCUUAUACUAAUUAUCGAUCUUGUGUUGGGUGGUUUUUUCUUCAAUACACUAUAUGCAGGCUAUUUUCUCUUUUCAUUCUUUAGCUUCGAA